GCUCUUUUGAGGGGAGGAGAUUGCCACUGUCUGCAAGCAAAUGCCAAGUUUAUUAUUCUUUGAUUAUAAGUAUGCAUUGAGCCGACGUGGAAGCUAAGCCAACGUUGAAGUGUCACCUCCUUGGUGACACUCUGCAUCUGCUGCUCACGAGAAAGCUAAAGUGUGAUUCCGCAGUUACUCUUGACCACCCAGCCUUCCUUGCUGCAUGAAGGUUCGAUCAAACAACGAAAUUCGUCAACAGACUUGGCACUGUUAGAGUCCCAUGUGUAACGUGUUCUACCACAUGAAAGCUCUUUCUGCACCAAUUACGCUCUAGACAGAUUUAGUCGCUCUCUGGGCCAGCUGCUCAAAUGCAUCCUUUUCUACAUGGAAGAUACUUAGAUCAGGCCCCCAGCCAGUGGCAAGGAUUCCCAGACUUGGAGUCUAGAAGAAACUCAACGGAACUUUUCCAAUUCUGGUGCCAUCCCCCAAAUUCAUUCAUCAGGAACAAAGAAAAGGUAGCUGCUCUUCAAGCUGCCAGGAAACCAUGUGCAGAACAUUCCAUGUGGCUCCAGGUAUGGCAAACCUGGUUCAAGGCACCAGAGCGGAGUCAUCAUCAUCCCUGGGCCAAUGGAGCAUCUACAAGCCUCUGAUGGGCAGCAUGGAUACCCUCUGGUCAAGCCUGAAGGCAGAAGGGAUAAAAUCAGCCAAAGUGACUCAACUCCAUCUAGGAGCCACUGGUACAAGGGCCUAUGAAGGAGAAGGAUGCGGUGUUACUGACAGUUGUCCCAUCUCCACAGGCCAAACCCAAAGAUCAAGGCUUCUAAACUCCAAGUAGCUCCUGUGUAACCUGGUAAUUCCUUAAUCAGGGAGCAGCAUCUAUGAGGACCCUUCAAAGGACAGAACCUGCUCAUCAGCUUCUCAAAGUGAGAUAUGUGUACCUGUGACAUCACUGGU